rnacentral:lncRNA from 1 species
GUCUUCAACUUUGUAAUUGUUUGGCUUUAUAAAUAUUUUGAUAUGAGCGUCACUGAUGAGUCUUAUGUAGACGAAACGCGCGUCUGGCGUACUAAAUUAUAAUCCUGGUACCUUUGAUAACUAAUUAGUAGAGCUGAUUCGAAUAAAUAGCUUAAAAGUGAUGGAGAUAAUCAGGCGGGUCAAAGCAAGAAAUGCAAGACAAAUGAACCAUCGGUAAGAUCUUUUUUAUUUAAUUGUGUCGGUCGUUAAUUCAGAUUUGGUUAGAAUAGACAUAGAAUAAGG